GACGAACGCUGGCGGCGUGCUUAACACAUGCAAGUCGAACGGAAAGGCCCUGCUUUUGUGGGGUGCUCGAGUGGCGAACGGGUGAGUAACACGUGAGUAACCUGCCCUUGACUUUGGGAUAACUUCAGGAAACUGGGGCUAAUACCGGAUAGGAGCUCCUGCUGCAUGGUGGGGGUUGGAAAGUUUCGGCGGUUGGGGAUGGACUCGCGGCUUAUCAGCUUGUUGGUGGGGUAGUGGCUUACCAAGGCUUUGACGGGUAGCCGGCCUGAGAGGGUGACCGGCCACAUUGGGACUGGGAUACGGCCCAGACUCCUACGGGAGGCAGCAGUGGGGAAGAGUGCACAAUGGGCGGAAGCCUGAUGCAGCAACGCCGCGUGCGGGAUGACGGGCUUCGGGUUGUAAACCGCUUUCGCCUGUGACGAAGCGUGAGUGACGGUAAUGGGUAAAGAAGCACCGGCUAACUACGUG
rnacentral:rRNA from 1 species